AAGUCGUAACAAGGUUUCCGUAGGUGAACCUGCGGAAGGAUCAUUACAAAAUAAAAAGCUCCCCCCCCGCCGGCGAUUGCCGGAGGAGGGGUGCUUAACGGUGCGGGGGUUUAUGCCCCCGAACUGUUGGACCCUUUGUGAAAACCCUCCGUUGCCUCGGCGGCACUCCCCUGCCGUGCGGCGCACUAUUGCGCUGCGCCGAAGGGGGACGGUCAGUCCGCCGGCGGCACCCAACCAAAACCCAUAACCAUUUUGAAGAAGCUGUCUGAAACCUAAAGUCGAAUGACUAUAAAACUUUCAACAACGGAUCUCUUGGUUCCC
rnacentral:misc_RNA from 1 species